GAACCAGUGUGCUGGCCAUGUCCCAACAGAUAAAAAUAGAUGACCCUACCUUGGAAACGACAUGUUUAUUUAAAUUUGACCAAAAGGUCUGAAGCUACACUGGGGAGAGCAGCUGGAGAAAGAUGGAGAGACAAGCAGCCUGAGUGGAUGUAAGAGGCUGGAAGCAGAAAAGAACGGGAAAUGAAGAGACCAGAUCCCUGUUGUGCUGGAUGCUGUGAAAACAUGAAAUCCUCCUUCUAAAGGAAAGAAAGGGAAGAAGGAAUCUGUUCCAAAGGGAACAGGUUGCCCAGCGACGUUGUGGAGUCUCCAUCCUUGGAGAUGAUAGUCAAAAUCUGUCUAGACACGGCACUGGGUGGACCUGCUCAAGGUGACCCUGCUUGAGCAGAGGGUCUGGACCGGAUGAUCUCUAAAGGUCCCUCCCAAUCUCAGCUGUUCUGUGAUUCUAUGAAAUAAAGAGGACAUGCAAGCAA